UCAGCUCGUGCCGUGAGGUGUGGUUAAGUCCGCAACGAGCGCAACCCUAUUGCCAGUUGCUACCAGGUAAUGCUGGGCACUCUGGUGAGACUGCCCGGUUAACGGGGAGGAAGGUGGGACGACGUCAAGUCAUCAUGGCCCUUACGCCUAGGGCUACACACGUACUACAAUGGCGCAUACAAAGGGCAGCGAUACCGCGAGGUGGAGCCAAUCCCAAAAAGUGCGUCCCAGUCCGGAUUGCAGUCUGCAACUCGACUGCAUGAAGUUGGAAUCGCUAGUAAUUCGAGAUCAGCAUGCUCGGGUGAAUGCGUUCCCGGGCCUU
rnacentral:rRNA from 1 species